rnacentral:rRNA from 1 species
UACGUAGGGGGCAAGCGUUGUCCGGAUUUAUUGGGCGUAAAGAGCGUGUAGGCGGUUUUGUAAGUCGGGUGUGAAAUCCCCAAGCUUAACUUGGGAACUGCAUUCGAGACUGCAUAGCUAGAGUAUGGGAGAGGGAAGUGGAAUUUCAGGUGUAGCGGUGAAAUGCGUAGAUAUCUGAAGGAACAUCAGUGGCGAAAGCGACUUCCUGGACCAAUACUGACGCUCAUGUGCGAAAGCGUGGGGAGCAAACAGG